rnacentral:tRNA from 1 species
GAGGGUAUAGCUCAGUGGUAGAGCGCACACAUAGCAUGUACAUCCUGGGUUCAAUCUCCAGUACCUCCA